rnacentral:piRNA from 2 species
AUGCGGGUAGCGUGGCCGAGCGGU